rnacentral:rRNA from 1 species
CGGAGAGGGAGCAUGAGACCAUUGCCCAGGCCCUACGGGGCGCAGCAGUUGCGAAAACUCCGCAAUGCGCGAAAGCGUGACGGGGCUACCCCGAGUGCCGUCCGCUGAGGAUGGCUUUUCCACGGUGUAAGGGGCCGUGGGAAUAAGGAGAGGGCAAGACUGGUGUCAGCCGCCGCGGUAAUACCAGCUCUCCGAGUGGUGGGGACGAUUAUUGGGCUUAAAGCGUUCGUAGCCGGCUCAGCAAGUCUUCCGUUAAAUCCAACGAUCUAAUCGUUGGGCUGCGGGAGAUACUGUUGGGCUAGGGGGCGGGAGAAGCCGACGGUAUCCUCGGGGUAGGGGUGAAAUCCUAUAAUCCCGGGAAGACCACCAGUGGCGAAGGCGGUCGGCUAGAACGCGCCCGACGGUGAGGGACGAAAGCUGGGGGAGCGAACCGGAUUAGAUACCCGGGUAGUCCCAGCUGUAAACGAUGCGGGCUAGGUGUUGGGGCGGCCACGAACCGCCUCAGUGCCGCACGGAAGCAAUUAAGCCCGCCGCCUGGGGAGUACGGCCGCAAGGCUGAAACUUAAAGGAAUUGGCGGGGGAGCACC